rnacentral:rRNA from 1 species
GUACACUCCUGCGGGAGGCAGCAGUGGGGAAUUUUGGACAAUGGGCGAAAGCCUGAUCCAGCCAUGCCGCGUGCAGGAUGAAGGCCUUCGGGUUGUAAACUGCUUUUGUACGGAACGAAACGGCCUUUUCUAAUAAAGAGGGCUAAUGACGGUACCGUAAGAAUAAGCACCGGCUAACUACGUGCCAGCAGCCGCGGUAAUACGUAGGGUGCAAGCGUUAAUCGGAAUUACUGGGCGUAAAGCGUGCGCAGGCGGUUAUGUAAGACAGUUGUGAAAUCCCCGGGCUCAACCUGGGAACUGCAUCUGUGACUGCAUAGCUAGAGUACGGUAGAGGGGGAUGGAAUUCCGCGUGUAGCAGUGAAAUGCGUAGAUAUGCGGAGGAACACCGAUGGCGAAGGCAAUCCCCUGGACCUGUACUGACGCUCAUGCACGAAAGCGUGGGGAGCAAACAGGAUUAGAAACCCCGGUAGUCCC